ACCCCUCCGGCGUGCGUGCGCGCGCGUGCGAGCCGGUGGGCGGAGUCUCGCCGUCCUCAAGUCUUCCGUCCGCUGCGACGCGCCGCUCGCUUCACUUGAUUCCCCCUCGGAGCCAGAACCGGAGCCAGAAGAAGCCGCCAUCCAUCUGGACCAUGGCCGCCACCACGUGCACGCGCUUCACCGACGACUAUCAGAUGUACGAGGAGCUGGGCAAGGGAGCCUUUUCAGUGGUGCGCCGCUGCGUCAACGUCUGCUCGGGACAAGAGUACGCCGCCAAGAUCAUCAACACCAAGAAGUUGUCGGCCAGAGACCACCAGAAGCUGGAGCGCGAGGCCAGGAUCUGCCGGCUGCUCAAACAUUCCAACAUCGUCCGUCUCCAUGACAACAUCUCGGAGGAAGGCUUCCACUACCUCCUUUUUGAUCUGGUGACAGGAGGCGAGCUCUUCGAGGACAUCGUGGCGAGGGAGUACUACAGCGAGGCAGACGCCAGCCAUUGCCUCCAGCAGAUCCUGGAGGCGGUGCUUCACUGCCAUCAGAUGGGCGUGGUCCACCGAGACCUCAAGCCGGAGAAUCUCCUGCUGGCCAGCAAGUGUAAGAACGCGGCGGUGAAGCUGGCCGACUUCGGACUGGCCAUCGAGGUCCAAGGAGAGCAGCAGGCCUGGUUCGGCUUUGCGGGCACGCCCGGGUAUUUGUCUCCCGAGGUUCUCCGGAAGGAAGCGUACGGAAAGCCGGUCGACACGUGGGCCUGCGGUAAGAGCUGCGUUCGCGCCCGCACGGCCCGGAACCCGGCAUUGUGGAGACUUGACGUGUGCGUGCGUGCGCGCGUAGGUGUGAUCCUCUACAUCCUCCUGGUGGGCUACCCUCCCUUCUGGGACGAAGACCAGCACAAACUCUACCAGCAGAUCAAAGCCGGAGCAUACGACUUCCCGUCUCCGGAGUGGGACACGGUGACGCCCGAAGCCAAAAAUCUGAUCAACCAGAUGUUGACCAUCAAUCCCGCCAAGAGGAUCACGGCCCAGGAGGCCCUCAAGCACCCGUGGGUCUGCCAACGCGGCACGGUGGCGUCCAUGAUGCACCGGCAGGAGACGGUGGACUGCUUGAAGAAGUUCAACGCCAGGAGGAAGCUCAAGGGCGCCAUCCUGACCACCAUGCUGGUCUCCAGGAACUUCUCGGUUGGCCGCCAGACGACUGCGCCGGCGUCCGUCGGCGGCGUGACGGGAAGUGGCGCCGGCAUCGCGGAACAAGCAGCCAGAAGCCUCCUCAACAAGAAGACCGACGUCAAGAACAGCAGCAGCAGCGGCAGCAGGAACAACAACGACACAAACACAGUCAGCAGCACCAAAGUCAACAGCUCGGUCACGUCUGCUGCACUGGAGCCUCAGACUACCGUAAUCCAUAAUCCGGUAGACGGGAUCAAGGAAUCAUCAGACAGCAGCAACGCAACAAUCGAGGAUGAAGACGUGAAAGCUCGCAAGCAGGAGAUCAUCAAGAUCACGGAGCAGCUCAUCGAAGCCGUCAACAACGGCGACUUCGAGGCCUACGCGAAGAUUUGCGACCCGGGCCUGACGUCCUUCGAGCCCGAGGGUCUCGGCAACCUGGUGGAGGGGAUGGACUUCCACCGCUUCUACUUUGACAACCAACGUGAAGCCGAUCCACACGACCGUCCUCAACCCGCACGUCCACGUGAUCGGCGAGGACGCCGCCUGCGUGGCGUACGUCCGCCUGACGCAGUUCGUGGACGCCGGCGGUCGCCCGCGCUCCAGCCAAUCGGAGGAGACCAGGGUGUGGCAGCGCCGUGACGGACGCUGGCAGAACGUCCACUUCCACUGCUCCGGAGUGCACGCCGCGCCGCUGCGUGCCUGAGGGUCGCAUUUCGGAGACUGAGGCAGCGCGUUGCCGGGACCGCCCCUCGGGACCGCCUGACUUCUUCUCUCGGCCGUGACGCCACGGACUGAACUUUUACGAGCCGCCCACGUCCCUCCUCGCCAACCCCGCUUGCCUGUGGUCUUCCCCCUUCGGCCUCGUUGUUGUUUCCGCCUCUUGGUGGUGCGCUUGUACGUUUGGCAUAGACAUACGUACAUGGACGCCAUAUUGGAUGUGGAAAGUGGUGUGAUCGGAGGGACUAGAACCUACUCUCUGUAUUUAAACCUAAAUUUCGGACUGUACUAUUUUCUAGGUACUUGUACCUUCUCUUGAGACUACUACCUUCUCUAAGGACUAGGAGCUUCACUUGGGACUAGAACCUUCUCUCUGGAGUAAUACUUUCUCUCUGAACAACAACCUUCAUUUGAGACUAGACCAUUCAUUCUCUUUGGACCAGUAUCUUCACCCGGGACUAGAACCUUCUCUCCGGACUAUACACUUCUCUCAGGACUAGAACCUUGUUUUGGGACUAAAACCUUCACUUGUAUCAAGACAAUUCUCUAGGGACUAGUACUUUAUCUCUGAAGAAGAACCUUUUCUCUGGAAUAGAACCUUCUCUAGUCCUAAACAUGUCCGGAGUAAACAUUUAUAAUUGUCUGCUUAAAAGUGACAUCAUACGUAACACUACACGAGAUGAGGUUCCGUCCACUGAUCUGCAUUAGUCGUGUUGCCACAUCCAAUAUGGCGGACACGUGGACGUAUAGUUGCAAUUCACCAACCUGCUCAACGAGGCGUGUAUGUACAUUAUAUAUACAUUGUCUAGUGUUUACGACCUCUUCUACUUCCUGUGACCAGCAUGGCUCCUCCUCCUGCACGGCCGCUGUGUGACAUCAUCGUCCUCUCUGCACAUGCUGUGUGACGUUGUCAUGACGACGGCAGACGUGUGUGUGUGUGUGUGUGAAGGAGAGUUCAAGUGCAUGAAGUCGUCUUUUUGGACCAAACUGCUGCUGAUCUUUUUGCUUCUCGCUGGACUUUGUCUCCGUUUGUGUGCAUGAAGAACCUGAAAACAAACUAAAGAACAAGCACCAUGCUGAGGAUCUGUGUAAAAGCAUUGCAUUACCCAUUGUUUGUAUUUAACAAUACAUUUGACUCAUAAUUAUUUACUUUUGGAUCAUGUCAUCCUAAAGGAGACAUGUUUUUUUUUGUUUCAUCAAAAUACCCCAAGUCAAGGGUGGAGAAACUCAAUGCGGAGGCGGCAUUAUGUAAAUUAGCCAAAUUAUCAUCCCCCAAUUACUUAGUUGCACUUGUGCCACGCAGAACUAUUUGUGUACAAAUAAUUAGUGACUUUUACAUAAUGUGUCCCCUUCAAGAUGUCCUUCACGUUUUUUUUCCCUUGUAAUGAAUUCAACAAUGAUGAGCUAUAAUUAUUAAAUGACACACUCAACAUUAUGACCACCUGCACAAAUACAUCAAUAUUUAUAUUUAUGACUGGCAAAGGUAAUAAUAAUGCUCCCUUUUGAUUGUGCUGCCAGCUGUUCCCAAUAUUUUGACCCUCAUGUAGACAACCAAAAUAUUAGAAACUAUAUCCUAGAAGCACAUAUUGUUCAAUUAAUAAGUUGUGUCGAUCAAAAGUGAGCAUGCUGAUUUUUCUAAAGGCACUAUGUUGGAUUAUUGCAUCUCAUUAGGAAGGAUCACAUUUGAUUAUUAAAACAGAAACAUGGGUCACCACAUUGAUAAGAAAAGUAAGUAAAAUGUGCAUGUAAAAUGGUUUCUUUUCAUAAAAACUAAUUCAUGUUCAAAUGUUAUUGUUUCAGGUUGAUUAACCAAUUGCAUAGUGUUUUUUUUGUAAACGUAUCUACAUUUUUUAUUUAUUUAUAAUUAAUUAAAUUAUAAUUAGUUGUGUGUAUAUGUACAUUUAUUCUUCAAUUUUAUUUUAAAGUAAAUUGCCAAUUUUUUUAAUGAGAAAAAUGACUAGAAAAUAAACACAAAGGAAUAUCUACGUUUUAAUGACGCUGUUUUAAGGGGGGCAACGAUUAAAAUGAAUGCAACAAAUAUUACGGGCUUCUCGAUCAUGUAAUCAUAUUUGAUGUAUUAGAGCGCGCAGGUGGUCAGAAUGUUGUUGCAAUUCCCCACGUUCUCCUGAAGAGGACGCCCGAGUCCCGAAUGCUCAAUGUCUACAUCCUGUAUACACUUCGGGUUUUGGAGUUCUAAUCACGUCAUUCAUGAACUAAAGCAGCCAGAAGUCUGCCACGUGUUUUGUUACUGAUGUCGAAGGUGAGUGAUACAAUAUGUAUAAACAUACGACUAAUAUCGACUUGUGCUAUUCAAUCAAUAAAGUGUCAAUGAAG